UACGAAGGGGGCUAGCGUUGCUCGGAAUUACUGGGCGUAAAGGGCGCGUAGGCGCCUGUUAAGUCGAACGUGAAAUCCCCGGGCUCAACCCGGGAACUGCGUCCGAUACUGGCAGGCUUGAAUCCAGGAGAGGUGAGUGGAAUUCCGAGUGUAGAGGUGAAAUUCGUAGAUAUUCGGAAGAACACCAGUGGCGAAGGCGGCUCACUGGACUGGUAUUGACGCUGAGGUGCGAAAGCGUGGGGAGCAAACAGGG
rnacentral:rRNA from 1 species